rnacentral:rRNA from 1 species
UACGGAGGGUGCAAGCGUUAUCCGGAUUCACUGGGUUUAAAGGGUGCGUAGGUGGGUAGGUAAGUCAGCGGUGAAAUCCCCGAGCUUAACUUGGGAACUGCCAUUGAUACUAUCUGUCUUGAAUACCUUGGAGGUGAGCGGAAUAUGUCAUGUAGCGGAUGAAAUGCUUAGAUAUGACAUAGAACACCAAUUGCGAAGGCAGCUCACUACA